rnacentral:rRNA from 1 species
GACGAACGCUGGCGGCGUGCUUAACACAUGCAAGUCGAACGGAAAGGCCCUGCUUUUGUGGGGUGCUCGAGUGGCGAACGGGUGAGUAACACGUGAGUAACCUGUCCUUGACUUUGGGAUAACUUCAGGAAACUGGGGCUAAUACCGGAUAGGAGCUCCUGCUGCAUGGUGGGGGUUGGAAAGUUUCGGCGGUUGGGGAUGGACUCGCGGCUUAUCAGCUUGUUGGUGGGGUAGUGGCUUACCAAGGCUUUGACGGGUAGCCGGCCUGAGAGGGUGACCGGCCACAUUGGGAUUGAGAUACGGCCCAGACUCCUACGGGAGGCAGCAGUGGGGAAUAUUGCACAACGGGCGGAAGCCUGAUGCAGCAACGCCGCGUGCGGGAUGACGGCCUUCGGGUUGUAAACCGCUUUCGCCUGUGACGAAGCGUGAGUGACGGUAAUGGGUAAAGAAGCACCGGCUAACUACGUG